rnacentral:sRNA from 1 species
ACACGAGAAGGGAGGUGGUCCACGCUUUGUAUGCACAUAGGACUCGUGAGGUGACUGUCAGCUAGCCGGUCUCGUGGUCCUCACCCUUGCCGGGUGGCCCUCGGGCACCGGCGCCGGCGAGAACCAGGCAGUUACCGGGCCCCCGGGUGCCGUCGAUCAGUCCCGACGGCCCACUCCGCCUACCAGGCAGAGUGGAAGCCCGGGGGUUUCUGCGU